rnacentral:rRNA from 1 species
AGUGAACGCUGGCGGUAGGCCUAACACAUGCAAGUCGAACGGCAGCACAGUAAGAGCUUGCUCUUACGGGUGGCGAGUGGAGGACGGGUGAGGAAUACAUCGGAAUCUACUUUUUCGUGGGGGAUAACGUAGGGAAACUUACACUAAUACCGCAUACGACCUACGGGUGAAAGCAGGGGAUCUUCGGACCUUGCGCGAUUGAAUGAGCCGAUGUCGGAUUAGCUAGUUGGCGGGGUAAAGGCCCACCAAGGCGACGAUCCGUAGCUGGUCUGAGAGGAUGAUCAGCCACACUGGAACUGAGACACGGUCCAGACUCCUACGGGAGGCAGCAGUGGGGAAUAUUGGACAAUGGGCGCAAGCCUGAUCCAGCCAUACCGCGUGGGUGAAGAAGGCCUUCGGGUUGUAAAGCCCUUUUGUUGGGAAAGAAAAGCAGCAGGUUAAUACCCCGCUGUUCUGACGGUACCCAAAGAAUAAGCACCGGCUAACUUCGUG